AUUGAACGCUGGCGGCAGGCUUAACACAUGCAAGUCGAGCGGAGAUGAGGUGCUUGCACCUUAUCUUAGCGGCGGACGGGUGAGUAAUGCUUAGGAAUCUGCCUAUUAGUGGGGGACAACAUUCCGAAAGGAAUGCUAAUACCGCAUACGCCCUAUGGGGGAAAGCAGGGGAUCUUCGGACCUUGCGCUAAUAGAUGAGCCUAAGUCGGAUUAGCUAGUUGGUGGGGUAGAGGCCUACCAAGGCGACGAUCUGUAGCGGGUCUGAGAGGAUGAUCCGCCACACUGGGACUGAGACACGGCCCAGACUCCUACGGGAGGCAGCAGUGGGGAAUAUUGGACAAUGGGCGGAAGCCUGAUCCAGCCAUGCCGCGUGUGUGAUGAAGGCCUUUUGGUUGUAAAGCACUUUAAGCGAGGAGGAGGCUACCUGGAUUAAUACUCUAGGAUAGUGGACGUUACUCGCAGAAUAAGCACCGGCUAACUCUGUGCCAGCCGCCGCAGUAACAC
rnacentral:rRNA from 1 species